UACGGAGGGGGCUAGCGUUAUUCGGAAUUACUGGGCGUAAAGCGCACGUAGGCGGAUUGGAUAGUUGGAGGUGAAAUCCCAGGGCUCAACCUUGGAACUGCCUUCAAAACUUCCAGUCUUGAGUUCGAGAGAGGUAAGUGGAAUUCCGAGUGUAGAGGUGAAAUUCGUAGAUAUUCGGAGGAACACCAGUGGCGAAGGCGGCUUACUGGCUCGAUACUGACGCUGAGGUGCGAAAGCGUGGGGAGCAAACAGG
rnacentral:rRNA from 1 species